CCCCCUAAACCCCCCAAAAUCCCUUCUAUACCCCCCAUUUCCACCAUCAAUCCCCCAUAACAUGCUGUUAUUUAACCCAUCCUUUUCCCCCCCCCCAUAUACAGGUAUUAAGGAGCUGGGAUACGGGUUACCCUAAACGUAGCGCGGGCGAAUCCUUCCUCAUCUGCGGGACUCUUUACGUCACCAAUUCUCACCUGGCUGGAGCUAAAAUCUAUUUCGCUUAUCACACGUCGACUUCGAGUUACGAAUACACGGACAUCCCCUUCCAUAAUCAAUACUCUCAUAUCUCCAUGCUGGACUAUAACCCACGCGAGAGGGUCCUUUAUACCUGGAAUAACGGGCAUCAAGUGCUCUAUAACGUCACCCUAUUUCACGUCGUCGAGACGGAUGGGGAGAUCUGAGCCUUCCUGACCCUCGUUCAUGGUCUGCUCUGUGCUGCUGUGUCGCAUUGGGAGCCUUCAUCCUCCUCUUCCUCACUUAUUGCACAUUGGGGUUCCAUCAUGUCAUGCUUUAAGCCCUAACCUUUUCCUAUCUGCCUUCGUGCCAUGGUUGGAGCCUUCAUCCUCCUCUUCCUCCAUUGGUUUUGCACAUUGGGGUUCCAUCAUGUCACGCACUGAGUCCCAGCUCCCUUCUCUUUGUCUUUGUGCCAUGAUUGGAGCCUUCCUCCUCCUCCUCUUCCUCACAUUUGCCUUCGUGCCACGGUUGGAGCCGCCUUCUUCCUCCUCCUCCUUCCUCGUCCCUUCC
rnacentral:lncRNA from 1 species